rnacentral:rRNA from 1 species
GGGCGCCGUCUACACUGCAGUCGAGCGGUAGCAUGGGAAGCUUGCUUCUCUCUGACUAGCGGCGGACGGGUGAGUAAUGUGUGGGGAUCUGCCCCAUUUAAGGGGAUAACCUCUGGAAACGGUGGCUUAUUCCCCAUAAUCUCUUAGGACCGAAUGAGGCGAACUUCAGUCCUUGCUCUAUCUGACGAUUCCGUUUGGGAUUACCUCGCAUGUGGUGGAUUCGCUCGCCUGGGCGACCAUCCCUGCCUGGUCUGCCAGGAUGUUCGACCCCGCGGGGACUGACCGGCACUCCAGUCUCCUACGGGCCGCAGCUGGGGGCGACUUUGCACAGUCGGCGCAUGCGCGCUGCAGCCUUGCCGAGCGUAGGGACAAGGUCCUAGGGCUGUUUCGUACUUUUCAGUCGCGGGGACUGUCGUGAUGCUAGUAUGCAUCCACGAUUGACGGCACCGACACAAGAACCACCCGACUAACUCCCUGCCAGCUGCCGCCGGCUAAUACCGAGCGUCCAAGCGCUUGAGUCAGUCACUUGCUGCGCGUUUAUGCGCACGCACGCCGUUGAUUUAUUGUUUCUGUGUGAAUUCCCCGGCCCUACCCUGGGAGCUGCCCUCUAAGACUGGUCGGAUACAGUCAUGCUGGAGGGAGGUAGAAUUCCAUGUGUAGCGCUGAUAUGCCUAGAGAUGGGGAGGACUCCCGGUGGAGAGCGCGGCCCCCUGGACAAAGACUGCCCCUCAGCGGGGAAUGGGGGGGGAGCGACCGGGAUUAGUUACCCUGGUAGUCCCCGCUGUAUCCGAGCUCGAUUUGAUGGUUGUUCCCUGGAGGAGUGGCUUUCCCAGCUAACGCGGUAGAUCGUCCGCCUGGCGAGUACGGCCGCGAGGUUAGAACUCAAAGGAAUUGACGGGGGCCCGCACGAGCGGCGGCGCAUGUGGUGUAGUUCGAUGCUACGCGAAGAACCUUACCUACUCUUGACAUCCGGAGUGCUUACCUCAGAUGCUUUGGUGCCUUCGGGUACUCUGACGACAGCUGCCGCGAUGGCUGUCGUCAGCUCGUGU